UCAUGUGAUCAUGUGGUCAUGUGGUCAUGUGAUCAUGUGAUCAUGUGAUCAUGUGAUCAUGUGGUCAUGUGAUCAUGUGGUCAUGUGGUCAUGUGAUCAUGUGGUCAUGUGGUCAUGUGAUCAUGUGGUCAUGUGAUCAUGUGGUCAUGUGAUCAUGUGAUCAUGUGGUCAUGUGGUCAUGUGGUCAUGUGGUCAUGUGAUCAUGUGAUCAUGUGAUCAU